UACGAAGGGGGCUAGCGUUGCUCGGAAUCACUGGGCGUAAAGGGUGCGUAGGCGGGUCUUUUAAGUCAGGGGUGAAAUCCUGGAGCUCAACUCCAGAACUGCCUUUGAUACUGGCAGCUUGGAGUCCGGGAGAGGUGAGUGGAACCGCGAGUGUAGAGGUGAAAUUCGUAGAUAUUCGCAAGAACACCAGUGGCGAAGGCGGCUCACUGGCCCCGGUACUGACGCUGAGGUGCGAAAGCGUGGGGAGCAAACAGGG
rnacentral:rRNA from 1 species